rnacentral:rRNA from 1 species
GUCGAACGGUAGAGGGGGCAACCCCUCGAGAGUGGCGAACGGGUGAGUAAUAUAUCGGAACGUGCCCAGUCGUGGGGGAUAACGUAGCGAAAGUUACGCUAAUACCGCAUACGAUCUACGGAUGAAAGCGGGGGACUCGCAAGAGCCUCGCGCGAUUGGAGCGGCCGAUAUCAGAUUAGGUAGUUGGUGGGGUAAAGGCUCACCAAGCCAACGAUCUGUAGCUGGUCUGAGAGGACGACCAGCCACACUGGAACUGAGACACGGUCCAGACUCCUACGGGAGGCAGCAGUGGGGGAUUUUGGACAAUGGACGCAAGUCUGAUCCAGCCAUUCCGCGUGCAGGAUGAAGGCCCUCGGGUUGUAAACUGCUUUUGUACGGAACGAAAAGGCUCUUCCUAAUACGGGGGGCUCAUGACGGUACCGUAAGAAUAAGCACCGGCUAACUACGUGCCAGCAGCCGCGGUAAUACGUAGGGUGCAAGCGUUAAUCGGAAUUACUGGGCGUAAAGCGUGCGCAGGCGGUUAUGUAAGACAGAGGUGAAAUCCCCGGGCUCAACCUGGGAACUGCCUUUGUGACUGCAUAGCUAGAGUACGGUAGAGGGGGAUGGAAUUCCGCGUGUAGCAGUGAAAUGCGUAGAUAUGCGGAGGAACACCGAUGGCGAAGGCAAUCCCCUGGACCUGUACUGACGCUCAUGCACGAAAGCGUGGGGAGCAAACAGGAUUAGAUACCCUGGUAGUCCACGCCCUAAACG